rnacentral:rRNA from 1 species
GUCUACGACUAGGCUACCCUGAACAAGCCCGAUCCCGUCUGAUCUCGGAAGUGAAGCAGGAUCGGGCCUGCUUAGUACUUGGAUGAGAGACCACUUAGGAAGACCAGGUGCUGUAGGCA